ACAACUAUCAGAUAACAAUGAAAAUUCUACUUCACAUAUAUACAUUGCAAUUGAUGAAGAAGAAAAUAAAAAUGUGAAUUAUAGUUUUGAUGAAAAUAUUAAUAACGAUAGCAAAUCCUCAGGUUCCGAGAAAAUCAGUAGCACAGAGGAGACAGGUACUCUUUUUCAAUCUCCAAAAGGCGAUGGCAGUCUAUCUAAACCCAAAAUCAGUCGUGAGUUGAAGGGACUGCAUAAAGCUGCUGCAGAAUCUAAAAUUAUUACUGAGUUCACAAAUGUGAAAGA